GGACAUCCUUUCCCCCUAACAAUUGGUUAGUUCACCAUUGGUCUCUGUGUCUGUUUUUGUUCUAAUACUGUUUUCAUUAUAACAGCUUUGUAGUAUUCUUUGAUGUCUGGGAGUGUUAUACCUUGUGGGUCUGCCACUCCUAAGUGGAUUGUUUGGCCACCAUUUUGUCACCUAUAGUUCUAAGCAAGGUCAAGAUGGCCCGGUCAGUUAGAUGCAGAGCCCAACCCUUCAAGGUGCCCUUUCAAAUCAAACAAGAGCACAAAGCCGGAUUACGCUGGGAAGGCUAUGCAUCACGAGGUAGGACCAGGAACGCCUGGGGACCUGAGGACCAAUGCAUAACAAAGGACCCCAGAAGCUGAUCAGUGGAAGCCUUGUUGAUAAGAUUAGAACCUUGGCUGGGGAUUAGGGUGUGACCUCCAUGACAAUACAGAGUCAUCCAGUAGAGGAGAAGUGCCUGGAGGGCAGACUCACAAUCCCUGAUCUUCUACAUUCUUCCCCUUUCUUUCAUAUCCUAUCCCAUAAUCUCCUUCCCCUUUCUUUUGCUCCUCACCCUUACAACCGAUGCUGUGGAUCAAUAAGAAGGCCAGGAUCUUGUGCUUCAGCAGCAUCCUGCAUUGUCCCCGAUUGCUCCUGAGGGUGCUCCAAGCUGUGGGCUCAGCUCAGCCCGUGUCCUUGUCCAGCAGACAGUGGGCGCUCAGCAACAACAGGCUUACUUGCUGCACAGGCCAGAGACAAUUCCUUGAGAUCUAGAACAACGGAUGAGGGGAUGCCUCGGCAGUGUCUCCAGCAGUGCUCAGCCUCAAAAAUCUCUUCAGUGGCUCCCACUGUCCGCGCUCAGGCUAAAGUCCAAGCCUCCAGACAAGCUGAUGAGAGUCUUGCCAUCUGCUCCUGCUGUCUCAGGCCCGCGGCCCCUCUCUGACAACCUCCUUCUCUCUGGCUUCCCCAUUCACCUGACCGAGUCCGUGUCAAGGGUCAUUCCGCAGCAGCCCUGCUGGCCGCCCCCUCGGCCAGGAGCGUGUCAGGUGUCCCUUCCAGGGAAGGCUGUGGCGUCUCAAGCUCCCUGUCACAAUUCUUGUGGGUCUGUUGAGGUUCCCUGUGUCCCUGAUUGCUACUGAGGGUGCUCUGAGCUGUGGGCUUGACUCAGCCCGUGUCCUCAUCCAGCAGACAGUGGGCGCUCAGCAACAACAGGU